UCCUAAGAUGGGGGCUGUUACUUUGGAAGGAGCGGAACCCUAGACCUCUGAAACACCAAACAACCAACUCCAUUUCAGCCGCCACUCCAUCCCCCCGUCGGACCACCCCUCUCAGUCAUCUUCACCAAGAACAACACACCCAUAGCCGAUUAUUUUCUCCCUGAUUCAAAACAAAAGACCAAAAGAGCGAAGUCAGCCAUUGACGCACCCCAACUGAACUCGCAAGAACCACCCAGCGUUCCCAUUUCCGGCCAGCCUCAGGAUCAUCGAACUUCUAAAACACACACACACAUAGCCAGAGAAUGGUCAAAUUCGAGGCAGAGAUCAAUUGAGAUUUGGAGUUUGAUUCGAGUGUGAUUCAGAGUCGAGGUUCACGGUUUUGGUUUCGAUUGUUUUUUUUUGUUCAUCUUCUGUCGCACUUUAAAAUUCCAAUGCCGGACUGCCUGUAUUCGUUCUUGAACAUAUUAAAUCAAGAGUUUCUCGCAUUCAGGUUAUAUCCUUGCUCUUUCUCUUAAUUUAUUAUCAAAACAUGAAUUUGAGGUGUUGUUUUCUCUCAAGCUCUUUUUUAAUUUCUGAGUUGUUUUUAUCGUAACUCUAAUAUCUUGAGGCAGCUAAGUGCAACUUGGCUUGUCUGCUCAUAAUCGCUAUAGCCUAUGGUAAUAUCUUAAAGCAUUGGCUUCACAUAGUUUUGUGUUUGAAGAUGUAAUAUAUUGUGAUUCCAAAAAUGUCAUCUCAAAUAUUGCCCAAGUCCAUAAGUCUCAUUUGAAGCCAAUGUCAUCAAUAGGAAUACCAGGGAAGGAUUUUUGACCUUGAGAGCUCUAGAAAUUUAACUUGCUUCAAAUUGACGUGUUGUCUUCUUUUGGUAUCAUAGUCAAGUUAAUUUUGUAUAUAUUAAUCUGAACCAAUUUGGGAUUAAGUUCACAUUGUUGUUUUAAUAUAAAUGGAUCGCGGGGUUGGACACCUACAUUGAAAGAAAAUUUAGAACAUGAAUGUUCUGUCUAGUUUCAUUUUAUUGCUUUGAUCGCUAGUAGCAUGUUUAGUCCAACCACACUCGGGGGCAAACCUUAGAACUUUUGUUAGUUUUGAGGUAAGAGGUCGUUUCCCUUGUUGAAUUUAUCUGGGGAAUGCCCCGCCUAAUUUGUAUAUAUUUUAUCCGGGGUAUGCCCUGAUGUACUUGCUCAAGUUAAUUUGACAGAUUAAUCUGAACCAAUUUGGUAUUAAGUUCACAUUCUUGUUUUAAUAUAAAUUGCUCGCGGGGUUGUAAAUUGAAAGAAAAUUUAGGAUGUGAAUGUUCUGUCUAGUUUCAUUUUAUUGCUUUGAUCGCUAGUAGCAUGUUUAUACCAACUACAUUCGGGUAGGCAAACCUUAAAAUUUUUGCUAGUUUCGAGGUGAGAGGUCGUUUCCAUAGUUGAAUUUAUCCGAGGAAUGCCCCGCGUAAUUUGUAUAUAUUCUAUCCGGGGUAUGCCCCAAAGUACUUGUAGUUGGAGGCCUAGAGUGGAACUUGUAGUCAUUUUAUUUUAUUUUUUGAAUUUUUAUUUUUCUUUCAUUAGGCGGAAACGACCUCGAGCCUCUUGUCUGUUUGUUUUUCUUUUCUAUGUCUUUUUUGUUUUUCUUUUCUAUGUUUAUUUUUAUCCCAAUUUAAAUAAUUCAAACGCCAACUAGAUCAUGUACGCAACCGUGACCUUCACGGAACUUGGGGAGUGCCUAACACCUUCUUCCCGAGUCAAAUGAACCCCCUUACCCAAAUCUCUGGUGUAGACUUAGUUUUAGAGUUCAAAGUAUUUUAAAAGGAAACUUAUUAUUUCUUUUUGGAAAAUAACGGCGACCUGACACACCGAAAUCAAAUGUCACGUGUCGACUCUGAGUUAUUUUCUUUUAAACAAAAUUUUUGUCACUUUCAAAAUUGAAAACCCUUUUCAAGCUUUUUUUAAAUCCUUUUUGUUUAUUUAAAUGGGUUUACUAUAGUUUUAUUUAAAAAUGGGGUGUGACAUCUCUGGCGACUCUACUGGAGACUUGAGGGUUUGAGCUGAUUUUUGAUCUUGUUGGCUUUUAGGAUUUUAGGUUGCGUUUUAUGUGUUUUGUUGCUUUAUUUGAUUAUUAUUUUGUUUAUAUCGUUUUAUUAUUUGCUAGUUGCUUAUUGCUUAUAGUUUUCUUUUUAUGUGUUUAUUGCUUUAUAUCUGUCAUCAUUUGCAUAACUCGAGUCUUCUUUCUACAACAAGUCUUCCGGAGUACAUUUGAGUGUACACAGCCUUUUUGUGAGUCACCCGUAUCUUUAAGGGGCUGGCGUGGGAGCGUGGAGUGGGCUGACAGCUAGAGUAGCCGCCAUCGACCACUUGCCACCCUGAAUUGCCUUUUCUAGUGAACCCCAACCGUAGGUCAGCCUUCUGGUCAUGCUUAUUUUCAUCAUAUCAUUUAAACUUAGCAGGGUUAUGUCCCAGGCACCGUGUCCCAUUGUAGGAGUCCUAUCCAAAUUAUGUUAAAACUGGGCUUAUGGCCCAAAAAGACAUUUAAUCAUCCAUAUGUGCUACAUCUUGCAUCUCUUUAAGGGUAAAUAGGCCAUUUGGCGGACCAAGGAUAUUUGACGGUGAAAUAUAAACUAAAGUAGGUGAUUUUACACUUUUCCAUUAUUUUCUGAAAAUCAAAAAGAAAAAUCCAAAAAGAUUUUACACUUUCCCAUUAUUUUUCGAAAAUGAAAAAGAAAAAAUCAAAAAAAAAAGAUUUUUACACUUUUCCAUUAUUUUUCAAAAGUAACAAAAAAAAGAGAAAAAGAAAAUCCAAAUAGAUUUUAUAUUUUCUAUUAUUUUCCAAAAAUUUUAAAAAAGUAGAAAAAGAAAAUCCAUAAGAGUUUAUGUUUUUCAUCAUUUUUCAAGAAAGACAAAAAUAGUUUGUUUUUUUCAAAUUAGAUGUAUGUUUUUUGAAUUAUAUCCUGUAUUUUUCUUCCAGGAAUACGCGAACCUAAUUCUCGUCUUUUGAAGCGAGAUAUGUAGGUCCGAUCUUUCUAGUGAGUCUUAGGUUAUUUGCUUUGCGGGGUCUUAGCCAAGUAUUGCAUGUCUAGCCACUUUUGGCCAUAUCGGCUAUUCUUGCAAAAUGGGGUCAUUUUUUGCAUAAAGUGGUUCAAUUACCCAUGUCUUAGAAUUUUGAGUCCACAACUAGGUGUCAUUUUACUUUAAGGUCCGUCCUUUUGAGUUUGCAUCUUUAGCAACUUUCGGCCACAUAGGCUAUUUUUGCAAAAUGAGUUUUUUUGCAAAUAGUUUUGGGCCAUGAUUAUUGUGUAUUUGAAUCCAUAUAAGCCUUAAUGUGUUAUUAUCAUAUCUUUGAGGUCACAUUUGUUGAGUUUGCACUAAUAGCCAUCCUUGGCCACAUAUGUUAAUUUUGCAAAAGUAGCCCAAUCAUGUCUUGCAUGUGUCCAAUAGAAGAUGUCGCGGCGUCGCAUGUGUCUUGAGUCACUAACUCUAUUUGAUCUUAUUUUUCCCAUUCAGGUAUGGAUUAAUUUGCUAGAGUUUGAAUAGAAGAUGUCGUGGCAUCGCAUGUGUCCUGAGUCACUAAAUCUAUUUGAUCUUAUUUUUCCCAUUCAGGUCUGGAUUAAUAUGCUAGAGUUUGAGCAUGACUAAUACCUAGGAUCAUUCUAGUCAAGACCAUUGCAGGCAGCGGCUGCUUGUGGAAACAUUCUAUUUUUUAGUCUAUCUUAUGUUAUCUUUUAAGUUUUAGUCCAGUACAAUAGUAUCGAGUCUGUCAAUCUAGUUAAGGUUUUCGAGUCUUUUGUUACAUCACUUUUUGUUUUGUAUUUGAAAAAUCAAAAAAAAGUUAUAAAUGCAAAAUCCAAAAAUUUUUUUGUCUCUUAAUUUAUUUUCCAUCACUUUUCAAGAACUACGCUUGAUCUGAUUCAUGAGGGACAUGAUACGUAGGCAUCCUACAUAGGGUUCGAUCGAAUCAUUAUUAAAAAAGAAAAAAAAAAGAGGAAAAAAAGAGAUGAAAUUGUGCAAGUGAGAAAUGAGAGAAAAAAGCAAUAAUCAGAAAAAAGAGGGGAAAAGAAAUGAAAAUUCAAGUGGUGUUUAAAAGGAAAAUGAAGAAGGAAAAGAGCUAAAAAAGUAAAAUUGGGAUGGUUCCAUAUGACCUUCGUAUCCUCGAAGUCAUUCUAGAACCGUUAAUUGUUGAUAGGUGGCACUGCAUGCAAUGUGAUAUUUCUAUCUGAUAAAUGCUCUAACCCUAACAUGUUGGCUUUGUUUUGUUCCUCAUUGUUACUUUCUUUGUUAUCAUAACAGAGAGUGGUUACUUGUGGCACAUUGGCGAUUCAUCCGGACAACAUAAGGUCAAAAAGCAAGUGGCAAUGGCUAGCAAAGAAACAAAACUGUUUAUCGUAACAGAGGGUAGUUAGUUUGUGGAACUUUGGCGAUUCAUCCGGGCAACACAAGGUCAAAAAGCAAGUGGCCAUGGCUAUCAAAGAAACAUACACUUGGGUUGGAGACCCACUAAGGGAGAUUGUAGAAUCAGUAACAGAACUGAAAGGGGAAGUCCAAAGAUUGAAACAGCAGAUGGUAGAAAUGCAUCAGUCUUGGAUUAGAGGGCAUCCUCCACCUUCAUUUCCCCUCUAACUAAAAUGAAAAUCUUGCAACUAUCCCACCACAAUCACAAUCACAGGUUCCCACUACUGUUGACCUUACUCCUCAACAUGCGCCGGGUUUUACCCCUUACCACAACUACCCCGGACCUUCAGCCCAAACAUUUUAUGCUCCACCGGUCAAAACAGCCUCGUACCCUGCUCCGAUAUCUGAUCCUAUUUUUGUACCCCCUCCACAAGCUACCCUCCACCGAUCCUCUAGUGAGACCGCGUUCGUCGCUCCAAAUGUCCACUACUAUGAACUGGAGAACACAUUCAGAGUCCCAGACACUUGCCCUUACACUACCCAAUUUGAGCCUCAUGUUGAAACUAAUAAACCACCCAAGAACGCAUAGCAAGAAGAGAUGUUUAGAAAGGUACAAAGUCUGGAGCAAUCACUAAAAAAUAUGCAAGGGUUGGGAAGCUAGAGUGUGGCCUAUAAGGAUUUGUGUUUGUUUCCCGAUGUCCAACUGCCUGUCAGGUUUAAGAUGCCUAAGUUUGACAUGUAUGACGGACAUGGGGACCCUGUAACUCAUCUGAGAGGUUAUUACAAUGAGAGGCGCUGGUAGAAAAAACGAAUUACUAAUGGUGUAUUUAACCAAGAGAUUGAGUGGGGAAGCUCUAGAACGGUACACCCACCAGGACACCAGCGAAUGAUACACAUGGGACGAUAUGGCUCAGACCUUCGCCCGGCACUGUCAGUACAAUAUAGUCAUUGUUCCGGAUCGCUUAUCUUUGACCAACGUGGAAAAUAAAACCAGUGAAAGCUUUAGAGAAUAUGGGUUCCGAUGGACGGAGCAAGCUGCACGAGUCAUUCCUCUGAUGGAGGAAGACGAGAUGGUUAAAUACUCUUUCCGAGCCCUGGAGCCCACUUACUAUAGCCACUUGAUCUGAGCCAUUGGUAAGUCUUUCAAAAAUGUGUUGAAGAUGGGAGAAAUGGUGGAAGAAGGGCUCAAUUCGAGUAAGAUCAUGAGCUAUUCUACCUUGAAAGCCACAACAGAAGCAAUUCAGAACGACACACGAAGCUUGCUGGGUCAGAAGAAACAUGAUGAUGGUUCCAUGGUUGUCUCAGGAUCACGACAUGGCCCAACGGGUCCACCUCACCAAUAUACUCUACCUCGACCAAGACCCCAAAUCCAAACCAAUCCUCGGGCUCCACAUAAUCCAUCUUAGUAUUAUCCUCUUAAUAAUGCCCAGCCAUUUGUUCAACCAAUGGGUCACUCCUUAUGGCGAGCACCAGCACUGCAUAAUACUCUUUCGCCUUCACAACAUUUUCGAGCACCCAAAACUCUAGGAAUCAGGGGCAUAGAGGGGAACAAAGGAAAAGAAAUUGUUUCACUCCAAUCGUAGAAUCCUACGCAAGUUUUUUUGAAAAGUUGAAACAAUUUGGCCUGAUUGAGCUGCUCUUCGACUAUACCCUAUACCCAUAUACAAAAGGUUUUGAUCCUACUGUGUGGUGCAUGUACCACUCUAACGUCCAAGGGCAUAGCAUUGAAGAUUGUCGUUCUUUGAAAAGGGAGAUAGAAAGAAUUAUUCAAGAAGGGAUAAUUGUGGUCCAGGAUAGUGGCACCCGGAAUAUCACACAGAAUCAUUUACCUACACAUGAUGAUGCACAUUUUGUGGGUGAUAUGCGUGGUGACAAGGAGUAUGAGAGUCCUCUUGGGAGCUUGCUGAGUGAAGUUACUGAAAUUGGAAUUGGUGAAAGUCCUAGCAAUUUUGAUGUGCAAUCUUGUGGCUAAGACGUCGAGCUUAGAGAUUUAAAAGAUACUCAUUUCUCGACUAGCCAUCGAGAAGUUUUGUAGUUUAUUUUGUUGUCAUUUAUUGCUUACUCCGUUUGUUUCAGGAUUGUAAUUUGGAUAUUGUCUCGUGGAUCAAACUCUUCUUAUUCUCAUUUUGUCUUGUUCUUUUAGUUUGUAGUAACUCGUCUAGUGUUAUUUAGGGUUGUUCCAGGGUUGUAACACAUGUCUAUUGUGUUUGUCCUGUUCAAACCCUUCAUUAUCUUUCUAUUGCAAUCUCCUAUUUUCUGUUAAUUCUAGUCAGUUUUGCUUAGGUCAAUUUUUCAUUUAGACAUGACAUGCACGGAUAAUUCUCAGCUUAUUCUUGAAAGUUGGUCUUAUCAUGAAGCAAUGACAUAUUUUUGAAUAUGAUAAAAAGAGGAAUUUGAGGAAAAAGUAAAGAUUCACGCAUUUUGAUAAAGGUGGAGCUUGAAUUGAGUGAAACUGAGGUAGUUAUUUUGGAAAAUGAAGAUGUUGAUAAGAGCAUACAACAAGGAAAUUUCUCUCAAGCAGUUUAAGGUAAAUCAAUCAGUGCUAAAAGGCAUUCUUCCACAUCAAGAUAAGGUUGAGUCAAGUCUGCUUCGAACUAGCAAAGAUCAUUCAUUGAGAUAAAGGUAUUGCCCGUUGGCACUUUAUGUUUGUGUGGAUGCCAUGAAUAGAUACUAUGUAUGAUUUAUUUUCUUAUCUUCAAUUUCAUGCUUGUACGUACCAUUUUUAAAGUUUGGAAUGAAGAAGGCAUUUUAUUCUGCUACCCAAAUACUUUUAUCAUUUGCUAUCCAUUUUCAGCCCUAAUUUUUUGUUUCAUACCCUUCUUUUGGAAUCAGAAAUAGAGUUACGAACUAGAAAAGGAAAAAAAAGAAAAAGGAAAAAAAAAGGAAAAGAGAAAAAUAAAAAAAAUGAAGAAAAGAAAAAGGAAAAAAAGAGAAAAAAAGAGAAAAAGAAAGAAAAGGAAAAGAAAAAACAACAACUUUGUGUUUGAACUACGUUAGACCUGAUUCUUGUCACCACAAGAUACGUAGGCAGCCUUACAGUUCGCUCACACGAAAUAAAAUAUUUUAUAAUUCCUCGAAAUCAAUACCGACGCAGAUUUUCUUAGAAAUCACAUAACAAAAUAAUCCCCCAAACUCCGAGAAAGUGGGGCAUAAGUUUUGAUUUUUCCAAAAGGCCUGAUUCAAAAAGUUGUACUUUUCAACCCUUUCAUCUUAAAUUAUUUUGAGCCUUCAUGCCACCCUUUCUUUCUAACCCUGUCCAACAGCCUAUAUUACUGUCCAAAGAAAGACCUUUUGACCAAUCUUUGAGGAUGCCAAAUCAAGUGUGUGGUUAGAGUAUGAUCUUCCAGCAUCAUGGGUAACAUUUGUUCUCAGCACAAUGAGAGAAAAUGAUAAAUGAGAGAGUCUUAUAGGUGAAAACCCCAGGAGCCACCGUAAGGCGACGGUGAGUCGAGAAAAGAGCAAACAAGAGGUACAACAAGAGUUGAAUAUUAGACUCCCUUUAGGGCACUGCAAGUUGAUUGAGGAUUGCAGAUCAUAUGGGACAAUUGAAGUGCUGAAGCCCAGUUUCACAGCAAAGAGGUACAACAAGAGUUGAAUAUUAGACUCGCUUGAGAGCUUAAGCCACUUAAUCCAAUGGUGCAUGUCAUGGUCUUUAGAGUUGGUAUCCACAUCUGAUAAAUUUUUUUUACUACAACAAGAGUUGAAUAUUAGACUCGCUUGAGAGCUUAAGCCACUUAAUCCAAAGGUGCAUGUCAUGGUCUUUAGAGUUGGUAUCCACAUCUGAUAAGUUUUUUUUACUUUGUAAUUUUCUUGUUAGGUAUCAUCUCUUUUCCCUGUCCCUUAUUUUGUUCCUCUUAUCUUGUUUGAAUCCUUUUUGAGUCUGUUUUAUCGAAACAAGUGAGAAAUGACUUCAAAAUUUGCCACCAGCUUUCCAAUUGCACAAAGCCGAGUAUGGCAAGCAUGUUAAAAUGACAUAAGAUACGGGAGAAUAGUGUGCACUGAGUUCGUGAUAAUAGAUGUUCUUUGGGAUUGAUGUAAAAUGCAAAGAUUGGAUGAAUGUCAGAACACUAGUGCAAUGCAUCAGGCAUAAGGUAUUGGACUUGAACGAAUCAGGAAUAUUUCUUUGUGAUAAGGUUUGAAAGAAAAUGGGUAGUUGACAACAUUCAAGGUCGUCCAAGUUGAAAUCAAAGUUUCCUUGGCAAAUGUAGAAGCACCCGCCUUCAAGGUCAAGGCCACAAACUAACCACCGUGUUUUAAGCUCACAAACUUUCUUUGUCAGAAACAGUGAUGAAGGCUAUAUUCAUAACAAAGCUUGUAUUUUCCAGGUGUAAUGUCCUAAUUCCUCUUGCAUGAAGGCUAUUGAGAAGAUCGCACAUCACCCCUAGGAGAAGCACUUCCUAGUUUGGGCCUUUCAGGUUAUAUUUUGUUUUAGGGGACGCACUUCCUAAAUUGACUUUCAUCCCUAGGAGACGCACUUCCUAAUAUGAGUUUUCAGGUUAUCGUUUUGGGAGAGACACUUCCUAAAUUGAUAUUUUACCCCUUAGGAGACACACCUCCUAGUUUAAAUCAUUGAAGUGUCACCCCUAGGUGGCGCACUUCUUAGUUUGGGCAUGUUAUAUUUUUAUUUUAGGAGACGCACUUCCUAAUUUAGGUUUUACCCCUAGGAGACGUACUUCCUAGUCUGGGUCUGUCAAGUUAUAUUUUUUUUUAGGAGACACUUCCUAAAUUGAGAUUUCACCCCUAUUAGAUGCAUUUCCUAGUUUGGGUCUUGCAGGAUAUAUUGUGUUUUAGGAGAUGCACUUCCUAGAUUAAAAUUUUACCCCAGUAGACGCACUUCCUAGUUCGAGUCAUGUAAGUUCAUUCCUAGGGUAGUCACUUCCUAGUUUGAGUAAUUGAAGUUUAACCCAUAGGAGACGCACUUCCUAGUCUGAGUUUGUCAAGUUAUAUUUGUGUUUUAGGAGUCGCACUUCCUAAAUUAAAAUUUUACCUCUAGGAGACGCACUUCCUAGUUUUGGGUCAUUUAAGUUUAUUCUUAGGAAACAUUUCCUAGCUUGAGUCAUUGAAAUUUUACCCCCUAGGAGACACACUUCUUAGUUUGGAUUUUUCAGGUUAGAUUUUAUUUUAGGAGACGCACUUGAUAAAUUGAGAUUUCACCCCUAGGAGAUGCACUUCCUAGUUUGGGUCUUGCAGGAUAUAUUGUGCUUUAGGAGACGCACUUCCUAAAUUAAAAUUUUACCCCUAGGAGACACACUUCCUAGUUCGGGUCAUGUAAGUUCAUUCCUAUGAGACGCACUUCCUAGUUUGAGUUAUUCAAGUUUCAUCCCUAGGAGAUGCACUCCCUAAUUUUGGUUCAUUCAAGUUACAUCCCUAGGAGACGCACUUCCUAGUUUGCGUUAUUCAAGUUUUACCCCUAGGAGACGCACCUCCUAGUUUUUGGUUUAUUCAAACCUAGUUUGGGUCAUGUAAAUUCAUUCCUAGGAGACACACUUCCUGGUUUGAGUUAUUGAAGUUUCACCCCUAGAGACGCACUUCCUAGCCUGGGUUUGUUAGAUUAUAUUUUUAUUUUAGGAGACGCACUUCCUAAAUUGAGAUUUUACCCCAAGAGAUGCACUUCUUGGUCUGGGUGUUUCAAGUUAUAUUUUUAUUUUUAGGAGACGCACUCCCUCCUGUUGGUCAUUUAAAUUCAUUCCUAGGAGAUGCACGUCCUAGUUUGAGUCAUUGAAGUUUCUCCCUUAGGAGGCGCACUUCCUAAAUUGAGGUUUCACCUCUAGGAGACGCACUUCCUAGUCUAGGUUAUUCUGAUUAUACUUUUAAGGAGACACACAUCCUAAAUUGAGAUUUUACCACUAGGAGACACACUUAUUAUUUGGUUCAUCUAAGUUCACUCCUAGAAGACGCACUUCCUAGUUUGAGUCAUUGAACUUUCGCCCUUAGGGGACGAACUUCCUAAAUUGAGGUUUCACCCAAAGGAGACGCACUUCCUAGUCUGGGACUUCCAGGUUAUAUAUUUGUUCUAGGAGAUGCACUUUUUGAAUUGAGAUUUUACCCCUAGGAGACGUACUUCCUACUUUAGGUAAUUUAAGUUCAUUCCUAGGGAUGCACUUCCUAGUUUGAGUUAUCAAGUUUAUCUCUAGGAGACACACUUCCUAGUUUGAGUCAUUCAAGUUUAACCCUAGUAGAGGCACUUCCUAGUUUGGGUCAUUUAAAUUUAUUCCUAGGAGACGCACUUCCUAGUUUGAGUCAUUGAAGUUUCACCCCUAGGAGACGUAUUUCCUAGUCAUAGUAUUUUAGGUUAUACUGUUUUAGGAGACGCACUUGCUAAAUUGAGGUUUUAGCCCUAGGAGACGCACUUCCUAGUUUUGGAUCAUUUCAGUUUAUUCCUAGGUGACACACUUCCUAGCUUGAGUCAUUGAAAUUUUACCCCAUAGGAAACGCACUUCCUAGUCUGGGUCGUUGAGGUUAUAUUUUUAUUUUAGGAGAAACACUCCCUAAAUUGAGUUUCACCCCUAUAAGACACACUUCCUAGCUUGGGUCAUUUAAGUUCGUUCCUAGGAGACGCAUUUCCUAGUUUUAGUCAUUGAAGUCUCACCCCUAGGAGACACACUUCCAAGUUCAAGUCACUGAAGUUUCACCCCUAGGAGACGCACUUCCUAGUUUGAGUUAUUCAAGUUUUACCCCUAGGAGACGCACCUCCUUGUUUUGGUUCAUUCAAGUUUCAUCCCCAGGAGACGCACUUCCUAGUUUGGGUCAUUCAAGUUCAAUUCUUAACAGGCGCACUUGUUAGUGAAAAUUUCUUGAUUUUACUCCCAGGAGACGUAUAUCCUAGUCGAGUCUUUAGCUUACUCUCAUCAUUGCAUCAAUAGCAUAAGUGGUUUACUUUUUUUUCUAACAAACUCACAAAUCUUCCUAGUGAAAACUUAGGUAGAAAAUUUUGUUUGUUUUGUUAUUUUGAUUGUAGGCACCCACCUGAAGAACAAGGAAGCACAUUUCAAUUUCCAAGUCAGUAG
rnacentral:lncRNA from 1 species